CUGGGUUGUUAAGUCUCUUGGGAAAUCUGGCGGCUUAACCGUCAGGCGUCUAAGGGAUACUGGCAAUCUUGGAACCGGGAGAGGUGAGGGGUACUUCGGGGGUAGGAGUGAAAUCCUGUAAUCCUCGAGGGACCACCUGUGGCGAAGGCGCCUCACCAGAACGGCUUCGACAGUGAGGGACGAAAGCUGGGGGAGCAAACCGGAUUAGAUACCCGGGUAGUCCCAGCCGUAAACUAUGCGCGUUAGGUGUAUCGGUGACCACGAGUUACCGAGGUGCCGAAGGGAAACCGUGAAACGUGCCGCCUGGGAAGUACGGUCGCAAGGCUGAAACUUAAAGGAAUUGGCGGGGGAGCACCACAACAGGUGGAGCCUGCGGUUUAAUUGGACUCAACGCCGGGAAGCUCACCGGAUAGGACAGCAGAAUGAUUGCCGGGCUGAAGACCCUGCAUGACUAGCUGAGAGGAGGUGCAUGGCCGUCGUCAGUUCGUACUGUGAAGCAUCCUGUUAAGUCAGGCAACGAGCAAGACCCACGCCAACAGUUGCCAGCAUGGUCUCCGGACUGAUGGGGACACUGUUGGGACCGCCUCUGCUAAAGAGGAGGAAGGAAUGGGCAACGGUAGGUCAGCAUGCCCCGAAUUAUCCGGGCUACACGCGGGCUACAAUGGGCAGGACAAUGGGCAUCGACACCGUGAGGUGGAGGCAAUCUCCUAAACCUGUCCUUAGUUCGGAUUGUGGGCUGAAACUCGCCCACAUGAAGCUGGAAUCUGUAGUGAUCGCGUUUCAAAAUAACGCGGUGAAUUUGUCCCUGCUCCUUGUACUCACCGCCCGU
rnacentral:rRNA from 1 species